rnacentral:rRNA from 1 species
ACUCCUACGGGAGGCAGCAGUGGGGAAUAUUGGACAAUGGGCGCAAGCCUGAUCCAGCCAUGCCGCGUGAGUGAUGAAGGCCCUAGGGUUGUAAAGCUCUUUCACCGGUGAAGAUAAUGACGGUAACCGGAGAAGAAGCCCCGGCGAACUUCGUGCCAGCAGCCGCGGUAAUACGAAGGGGGCUAGCGUUGUUCGGAUUUACUGGGCGUAAAGCGCACGUAGGCGGACUAUUAAGUCAGGGGUGAAAUCCCGGGGCUCAACCCCGGAACUGCCUUUGAUACUGGUAGUCUUGAGUUCGAGAGAGGUGAGUGGAAUUCCGAGUGUAGAGGUGAAAUUCGUAGAUAUUCGGAGGAACACCAGUGGCGAAGGCGGCUCACUGGCUCGAUACUGACGCUGAGGUGCGAAAGCGUGGGGAGCAAACAGGAUUAGAUACCCCGGUAGUCCC